rnacentral:rRNA from 1 species
UAGAUACCCUGGUAGUCCACGCCAUAAACGAUGCACACUAGUUGUUGCUAUGCUAGACAUAGCAGUAAUGCAGUUAACACAGUAAGUGUGCCGCCUGGGGAGUACGGUCGCAAGAUUAAAACUCAAAGGAAUAGACGGGGACCCGCACAAGCGGUGGAGCAUGUGGUUUAAUUCGACGAUACGCGAAGAACCUUACCUGGCCUUGACAUAGACAGAAGUUUGCAGAGACGCAGAUGUGCUAGUUUACUAGAACUGUCAUACAGGUGCUGCACGGCUGUCGUCAGCUCGUGUCGUGAGAUGUUGGGUUAAGUCCCGCAACGAGCGCAACCCUCGUGUUUAGUUACUAACAGUUCGGCUGAGGACUCUAAACAGACUGCCUGGGUAACCAGGAGGAAGGUGAGGACGACGUCAAGUCAUCAUGGCCCUUACGGCCAGGGCCACACACGUGCUACAAUGGGGUAUACAAAGAGCUGCAAUACGGUGACGUGGAGCAAAUCUCAUAAAAUAUCUCCCAGUUCGGAUUGAAGUCUGCAACUCGACUUCAUGAAGUUGGAAUCGCUAGUAAUCGUGAAUCAGCAAUGUCACGGUGAAUACGUUCCCGGGUCUUGUACUCACCGCCCGUCACACCAUGGGAGUUGAAUUCAUUCGAAGCGGGGAUGCUAAAGUAGCUACCUUCCACAGUGGAUUUAGUAACUAGGGUGAAGUCGUAACAAGGUA